GGGCGGUUAGCUCAGUUUGGUUAGAGCACUAGCUCGACAAGCUAGAGGUCACAGGUUCGAGUCCUGUACCGCCCA
rnacentral:tRNA from 1 species